rnacentral:rRNA from 1 species
CCUACGGGGGGCAGCAGUGGGGAAUAUUGGACAAUGGGCGAAAGCCUGAUCCAGCCAUGCCGCGUGUGUGAAGAAGGCCUUCGGGUUGUAAAGCACUUUCAGUGGGGAAGAAAGCCUUGGGGCUAAUACCCUCGAGGAAGGACAUCACCCACAGAAGAAGCACCGGCUAACUCCGUGCCAGCAGCCGCGGUAAUACGGAGGGUGCGAGCGUUAAUCGGAAUUACUGGGCGUAAAGCGCGCGUAGGCGGUCUGAUAAGCCGGUUGUGAAAGCCCCGGGCUCAACCUGGGAACGGCAUCCGGAACUGUCAGGCUAGAGUGCAGGAGAGGAAGGUAGAAUUCCCGGUGUAGUGGUGAAAUGCGUAGAGAUCGGGAGGAAUACCAGUGGCGAAGGCGGCCUUCUGGACUGACACUGACGCUGAGGUGCGAAAGCGUGGGUAGCAAACAGGAUUAGAUACCCCGGUAGUC